CAGUGGCCCUUCUCAUGGCCCAAUUCGGAAAUGCAACAGGCCUGCAGCGCAGAGCACGCACGGGACGGCGUCUCCCAUCCCCUUUUUUCAAUCGAAUACUCCCAUCCUCAAUUAUGAUCGGGUAGAGCACAGGCUGAUCGCCUGAUCGUGCGGACGGGCGCGCGGCGGCGAUGGGAGCGGCCGGCCGUGACGGGCAGCACGGCGCAAGCAAUCAGGCGGCGUCCAUCCUUCGCCCCGUCUUUUCUCUUACUUGCAGCAGGCGUCCGAGGCUCUGUUUCCGUUCCAAAGCCGCAGGAAAGAUGUUUCCACUUCUAUAUGAUGAUGAAUUUCAAGUUAUGAUCAAUUCUCCGAACCUAUGACAUUAUGGUAACACAUUCACAUUGUCCAAUGCUCGACUUUCAGUUUGGCUGGCAUGGCGUGGUUCAGGCUCUCUGAUACCUAGUUCCAGAGAACGUCAUGUCGUUACUUGCUUUGGGACGCGCUAUAGCUGAUUCAGAAAAAGCGAGGAAACCACGGCUCUGGAAUCGCAAGGCAAGAAACACGAAUGCAUACAUGAUACAACUAUUAUAUAGAUGAGAUUGGAAUCUUUCUUUGGUUUUGUUAGGCGAAUACCUUGUCUUAAUCCACAAUAGCUCACAUGGAACAGAUGCAGAAACAAAGCUGAUCUACUAUGCUGACACCGUGAUCUAUUACACUGACACAGUGAUGCAGAAACAAAACUGAUCUAUGAUGCUCACAUGAGAUGGAUGCAGAAACAAAUCAUGUGCUCCACGUCCCAAAAAAGAUGCUUGGUCAAGUCUUGUGUUCUCACUAGUGAUGAGCUAAUUUUUUUUUCAGGAACUAGAACAUUGAUCAGUGUGUUACACAUUUUUGUAAUACAUAACUGCAGUGUGAUGCACAUUUUUGUGACGCGCAAUGGCAGAUGCUUUGUUUUGGUUUGCUCUGGGUUUUCAAUUCAGAAACGGCUAGUGCUUGUACUUGUAGGACAAACCAAGAUCUUCUGACAUGACUCACCUUACAUCUUUCAGAUUUGUUUUUUAA